rnacentral:rRNA from 1 species
CCUACGGGUGGCAGCAGUGGGGAAUAUUGGACAAUGGGCGCAAGCCUGAUCCAGCCAUGCCGCGUGAGUGAUGAAGGCCUUAGGGUUGUAAAGCUCUUUCGCGCGCGACGAUAAUGACGGUAGCGCGAGAAGAAGCCCCGGCUAACUUCGUGCCAGCAGCCGCGGUAAUACGAGGGGGGCAAAUGUUGUUCGGAAUCACUGGGCGUAAAGGGAGCGUAGGCGGGUUUCUAAGUAAGGUGUUUAAUCCCGGGGCCCAACCCCGGACAGGCACUUUAAACUGGAAGUCUUGAAUAGUGGAGAGGUCAGUGGAAUUGGGGGUGUAGCGGUGGAAUGCGUAGAGAUCCCCAAGAACACCAGUUGCGAAGGCGGCUGACUGGACACAUAUUGACGCUGAGGCUCGAAAGCAUGGGGAGCAAACAGGAUUAGAUACCCCUGUAGUC